AUGUUCUCCAGCACGGGGCAUCCGUGGGUGUUUUUCAGAGUGGGCUGCGUGGAACACAGAGCCGGCUGCUUAUCGCUCACAACGGUCAGCUCUGCCUGUUCGCUUGCGUUCAAGGGAAAGCGACAGUGACUCACAAGCAGCCUCUCCGAAGAAAAUGAAAGCGCAUCUCAAAGCGGCUUCUGGUCUGGGAAGAGCAUCACCGCCCACGUGAAUCAAACUCCCCCUGCUGCCCCUUCACGCCCUGCCGGAGGGUCUGAAACAAAACCAGAGUAGGCAGCUGGCUCUCACUGCAGCUACUUCUCCUCCAAGCCAGCACAAUAUCUACUGCUCCAGCCAGAGAUCCCCACUGGGAACGUUAACCAAGCCUGAGAAAUCUCAUCAGCUGUAAGCUCCAAUUUACAGAUGGGUAAACUGAGGACUGGGGUGCUGAUGUGAUUUACGCAGAGUCCGGGCAUGAGUCAGUGGCAGAGCUGGGGGUAGAACCCAGGAGUCCUGAUGCACAAACUUCUGCUUGAUCCUGUCCCAUUACCAAUACACAACAGCCGUCGCUGGUGCUAAGCUGUGACCUGCCCACUAAUGUAUUGGAAAAAAUCCCGUGCACACCCCACUUCUUCCUUCUCGGUGCCUCUUGUUGUUUUGUUCUCAUUUUACUCCAUUGAUUGCAACACACCUGUACAGCUGGGCUGGGGGAGGAUCCCUGACUGUCUGUUUCCACUGAACAAACAUGGAAUUUCUGUUUUGCCAAGAGCAGCAGCAACUGGCCCACAGCCUGGCUGCCUUUUGUUUUGCUCACCUGUGCACGCACCAGCCUGAAGGGCACUGAGAAAUGGGAGCUGAAGGCUCUCUUCUGCAGUGCAUAAUGUGAGCAGUCCUGGAAACCAAGCUGAUGAGAACAGUGGGGAGGGAACACACCAGCCCCCUCCUGCCUUUGUGGCACUUAAGCCUGCAGCUCUGAUUGUGGAGGGUGAUAUCAUGGCUUCUGCAGAAUUACUUUCCUCCCUACUCUUUGGACUCUUACACGGGAGCGUGGCAUUCAAACACAGACCUCGGCCGGUCCCCUGUAAAUAGAGGAGAUGCAACUGUCUUUCAGACUAUACCGAUGGAACAAACCUGGACAACAGUAUUCUAACAGCCCAUCCACGUGGGAAUCCCCUCAUUGGACAGGAACCAGGACCUCUCUUCACCAGCUCUGUAGGGCCCAGGUGCCCACAUCCCACCUCCUAGUAUGACUGAAAUGGCACAUGGAACCCAGAGCAAACCUCGGACCAGGCUGGGGACACCGAACUGCGAAUAUCCCUGUCCUGGCAGGACCAUGGCGCGGCGCUGAGAUGCUGGCUGGAUAGAUGCAGGGAUGGGUGCGGCUCUGACCAAUCCCAGCUUUCGGU